rnacentral:rRNA from 1 species
GGCUUAGAGUUUGAUCAUGGCUCAGGAUGAACGCUGGCGGCGUGCUUAACACAUGCAAGUCGAACGAAGAUAUUUAGAAUGAGAGCUUCGGCAGGAUUUUUAUCUAUCUUAGUGGCGGACGGGUGAGUAACGUGUGGGCAACCUGCCCUGUACUGGGGAAUAAUCAUUGGAAACGAUGACUAAUACCGCAUGUGGUCCUCGGAAGGCAUCUUUUGAGGAAGAAAGGAUUUAUUCGGUACAGGAUGGGCCCGCAUCUGAUUAGCUAGUUGGUGAGAUAACAGCCCACCAAGGCGACGAUCAGUAGCCGACCUGAGAGGGUGAUCGGCCACAUUGGGACUGAGACACGGCCCAAACUCCUACGGGAGGCAGCAGUGGGGAAUAUUGCACAAUGGGCGAAAGCCUGAUGCAGCAACGCCGCGUGAAGGAUGAAGGGUUUCGGCUCGUAAACUUCUAUCAAUAGGGAAGAAAUAAAUGACGGUACCUAAAUAAGAAGCCCCGGCUAACUACGUGCCAGCAGCCGCGGUAAUACGCAGGGGGCAAGCGUUAUCCGGAAUUACUGGGUGUAAAGGGAGCGUAGGCGGCAUGGUAAGCCAGAUGUGAAAGCCUUGGGCUUAACCCGAGGAUUGCAUUUGGAACUAUCAAGCUAGAGUACAGGAGAGGAAAGCG